GGGAACUUUAUUCGAAAGGAUCAACGAGAGAGUGAAGAUCGAUGGGAUCUAAAAUGAGAUCUACUGCUUCAUCAUGUUCUAAAUGAUUUCCUUCAUAAUUACUUUUUCCAUAGUUUUAAGGUGAUAUAUCUACCACUAAGAUUAUACUUAUUUACCUCCGUUCAAUACUGUGGUGGCAAUCUUAAAGAGUGAAAAUUGGAGAGGUCCAAUGUAAGAUCCCGACUGUCACGUGUCUUCAAUAUGAGUGACAUACUACCCCCCAACAAAAAGUAUCCGACCUCUUUAGGACCUCAUACUCCCUAUUGAACACAGCUGACCUUGACUUCUAUCGGGAAUAAAGUUAUUUAUCAAUUUGAGUUCAAUUCUCAAAAUAUUCAAAUUCCAUGUCAGCUAUUAACUUAAUUAUCUAUGUUUAUAAACUUUAAGCUGUUGAAUCCAAAUAUCUUUUGCAAAAGCCAUUGUGGCCAAGCAGAAAAGGACAACUAAUUUAUGUUCAACCUUUUGAAUCAAGUCUUCUGCUUGAGCAUCUACACACAAACAAUGU
rnacentral:lncRNA from 1 species